UGCUAAGCUCGUCCACCCUGCUCCUUUUACGGCUAUAGACGCAAAACAAUCUGUAGGCAAACACAGCACAGUGGCCCUCACAGUGCAGCUGCUCUGAAAGAAAAGGUCACGGAACGGCGUAUACCAGCCUACAGAAAAGAAAGAUCUGGUGAUACAAGUUAGCAUAGGCAUCGUGUUUCCGUGCGGUACGUUUUCACACACCGAAGUCGCCAUCAUCCAUUGAAGUCUCGUCGAAAACAGGUCGUGAAAACAGAAGAUGUACUACUACGACGCAGCUCAUCGACACGCUCUGUACGCGAAGGAGCUCCAAUCAGACCGCGAUCGCUGGAACUUGAGUCGGGCCACGCGCGACGCGGUCAUUUCAGCUCAUUGUCCUCCUUACCUUCAGAUAGGCAGUGCCGCUCCCACGCUGCUCAAUCGACUUACUGCGCCUGUUUACUAUUCAUCUUCGCAAAGGAUCCCAUACCACAGGCGAAAGGUGACCACCUGGUACCGCUUUUAAGGCACUGUUUCUGGCUCCAUAUCACAUGAAGCCUAUGCGUUGUUUUGACAUAGCGAUAUUUCUACUUACAUCGAAAUCUCAACUACUUCACUAGAGAUGUUCAUAUUGUAUCAUCUGCAACUACAGUUGAUUAACUUGCCUCGGUAAAGUGGCGAGGAGCUCUACAAGUUUACCAAAACAAGUUUUCUAUAUGUUCUAUGAACAAUAAGAACAGUGUAUAAUAAAUGUUGUGUCAUAAAAGUUA